GAGAGCAACCUGCACAGCACAGCAACUUUAUUCAGUCUAGCUCGACUUAAAUGGUUUCAUGUGACCCUGUGGCCUUUCCGCAGCAACACAUUAUAGCACUGCUGACUGUGACUGGCUGUGCAAAUCAGGGGUGAGGCAACUGUGCACCUCGCCGGCGAAAAUAUCUGUGAUAUACGAUCGCAUGCCCACGUUCCCACCAGCUUCCACUGAGCGGGGUACUGGGGUAAUUGAUUGAAAAUAAAGCCAAAUGAGACUGAUCAGAGCUGCUGCAGUUUCUCACUAUAUGCUCAAGAUCAGAAGUAAUUCAGCUACAAGAUCAGUGGGAAACAAGGGAGCUGAGAUAUGAGCGAGACGUGCGGGGAGAGAGAGGUGGAGAAAGAGACUAUUGAUCAGCAUGUGGUAGCGGUACCUCAGGAGCCGAGGCAUCAAACCCAUGGUGAACUCGCGGCUGUACAAGAUUUCGCUAAGAAAAACAUAUACCCUAGAAGAUGCAUUUGACGCUUUCUUUGGGGGCACUUGAAGGGCAUGGUGUAUCCUUUGAAGAUAUGAGACAUAAAUCAUCUCAAGGAACGUAUCAGCAACGCCAUUACAAGCAGAACUUCAACUGUGCUAAUGCAAGUUCAAAACAAUGGUAAUCAUAUAGAGCACAUUAUAUUAAUAAAAACGGUUGUCCAACAUAAAAUGUUUACUUUUCCUAUGUAUGGAAACCUAUGGCCCACCCUGUAUAACAUUUGCAUUCAGGCACCCCCUGUAGAUUCAAAAUGUUUCAUUUUCUAGAACUGCUGUAGAGAUUUUGCACCCCCAGCAGUCUUCAGCUGACCGCAGUGGUGGCAUGAAGCUAGAUAAAAGAGUUCAGCAUUUGCAAAACAGAUGUUUGAUCUACAAGUUGGUGAACCAAAAAAUAAAUUGUUGUAAAAAUUGUGCUUACUGGAG